AAGUCGUAACAAGGUAACCGUAGGUGAACCUGCGGUUGGAUCAUUAAAAAAAAAACAUAAGCAUCGAUGCAGUGUCCAUCGCUGCAUUGGUGCGUUGGAGUAGCAUUUAAGUGCGAACCCAACUUAAACACUUUGUGAAUUGUAUCCUGUCUCUGGCGGGCGAGCUUCCUUUGGAAGUUCAGCAUUGGGGGGUCCCCGGUGCGUCAGCGCAGGUCCACGUUGAAGUGGAUCUGCGCGACACCCGUCGAACGUGCAUCAACUCGUGCUCUGUCUUCAGAAAGUCUCAACUUUACACAUUAUUGUAUCACAAUAUACAAACAACUUUUGGCAACGGAUCUCUUGGCUCACUC
rnacentral:misc_RNA from 1 species